GAUGAAGAACGCAGCGAAAUGCGAUAAGUAAUGUGAAUUGCAGAAUUCAGUGAAUCAUCGAAUCUUUGAACGCACAUUGCGCCCGCCAGUAUUCUGGCGGGCAUGCCUGUUCGAGCGUCAUUUCAACCCUCAAGCACAGCUUGGUAUUGGGACUCGCGUUAAUUCGCGUUCCCCAAAUUGAUUGGCGGUCACGUCGAGCUUCCAUAGCGUAGUAGUAAAACCCUCGUUACUGGUAAUCGUCGCGGCCACGCCGUUAAACCCCAACUUCUGAAUGUUGACCUCGGAUCAGGUAGGAAUACCCGCUGAACUUAAGCAUAUCAAUAAGCGGAGGA
rnacentral:misc_RNA from 1 species